rnacentral:rRNA from 1 species
CACGUAGGGCGCAAGCGUUGUCCGGAAUUAUUGGGCGUAAAGAGCUCGUAGGCGGCUUGUUGCGUCGACCGUGAAAACCCGGGGCUCAACUUCGGGCUUGCGGUUGAUACGGGCGGGCUGGAGUUCGGUAGGGGAGACUGGAAUUCCUGGUGUAGCGGUGAAAUGCGCAGAUAUCAGGAGGAACACCGGUGGCGAAGGCGGGUCUCUGGGCCGAUACUGACGCUGAGGAGCGAAAGCGUGGGGAGCGAACAGG